CCUACGGGAGGCAGCAGUGGGGAAUAUUGCGCAAUGGGCGGAAGCCUGACGCAGCGACGCCGCGUGGGGGAUGACGGCCUUCGGGUUGUAAACCUCUUUCGACCUUGACGAAGCCUUUCGGGGUGACGGUAGGGGUAGAAGAAGCACCGGCCAACUACGUGCCAGCAGCCGCGGUAAUACGUAGGGUGCGAGCGUUGUCCGGAAUUAUUGGGCGUAAAGAGCUCGUAGGCGGUCUGUCGCGUCGGUCGUGAAAACUUGGGGCUUAACCCUGAGCUUGCGGUCGAUACGGGCAUGACUGGAGUUCGGCAGGGGAGACUGGAAUUCCUGGUGUAGCGGUGAAAUGCGCAGAUAUCAGGAGGAACACCGGUGGCGAAGGCGGGUCUCUGGGCCGAUACUGACGCUGAGGAGCGAAAGCGUGGGGAGCGAACAGGAUUAGAUACCCUGGUAGUCCACGCCGUAAACGGUGGGUGCUAGGUGUGGGGGCCAUUCCACGGUCUCUGUGCCGCAGCUAACGCAUUAAGCGCCCCGCCUGGGGAGUACGGCCGCAAGGCUAAAACUCAAAGGAAUUGACGG
rnacentral:rRNA from 1 species